UAAAUAGCUUUGUGCUGUUACCAGAGUGACACUAUGCAUCACACAAUGCAAAUUGUUUACUGAAAACAUCUAUCUUUUUUAAUGGGUCAAGAAGACCAGGUAGCCAGAUGAUACACUUACUUCUGGCCUUGUGCAACACAUAAUGACUUCUUUGUCCUUUUGUUUUCUAUAAUAUUUUUUUUAGAGCAAGUGGAUUGGCCUACUUCAUCAUGUCUGUGACUCCCAUGAGUGGUUGGGCGGCAGGUGUGACCGUGAUGAUCAAAUCCAUGAUCCCAACUUAACAUGGUUUGACCGGCAUGACAAAGACUUUGCAGAAUUGCAGAAAGUCAUCUUAAACCCAGAGCUGCUUGACAACUUCCGAUUCUAUGUUAGAUUCAGGUAACCAAGUGGCAUGAAUCUGCAAGUUGUCAUUUUGUCUUAGUACAGAAUACUACAUGUACUUUGUGCAUAGCUCAAAUAUAAAAUAUUCAUAUUCAUAUGUAUACAUCAAAAGUGUGUUAAAUUUUAUAGCAUCCACAGGUCAACAUCCUAAUAUACAGAUUAUAAUUUGCACUUAGCCGGGGACUAUUGUCACAGCAUUGAGAUAUGAUUCGAAGAUAGUCUUGAAAAUAUUCUGUUUUUUAUUUCAGGCACACUCGCAGAAUAGAGUGUGCAAACAGCCUGACCCUUGCAUACACUCCAAAGAGAGCACUGCUAAGCUAUAAAGCUUACAAGGCAAGGAAGUAUAUUGCUACAUUUGACUGGAAUUCCUAUUUGGAUCUCCCAGCAGCCACAAGCAAGUCUGGGAAUGAAAUCACCUCCAGGAGAUGUAAUCAGAGAACUCAGCGGUGGGAUGUAAGAACAGUAAAACAAAACAAAACCUUUGAGUGGAGGACAAUGAUCUCGUGGCACGCAAUGUGUCACUGAAUGAAAGCUAUCCACGUUUAGUGUCACCCACAAUUGCUGCAAAGCCUCCCCCUUUCUCGAAGGAACUGUUGGUUAGAAAAAGCAGGUUUAUUGUGCCCUCUAAGCAUGCAAAAUCAACAUCUGGUCAGGAUUUGGGGGAAAUGUUGUCAAAUGAAUAAUUUUUCCGCAAUAUUUAUUUCAUAUAAUGUGUAAACAUACAAUGUACAUCCACUUAGAAACUCACUGGGCCAUUAUGUUAUCAAACAAAAAAUAUGGAAAAUGUUCCAUUUUGAUACAACAUGAUAAUUACACCAGGGAAUAUUAUUUAGACUUUCGAUUCUCUACAAAUAUCAGUGUUUAUAUUUCUAUUGAAGGAGUGAAUCAAUGAGCAGGGAAAACACCUGUGGUAACUUGAAAUGACAAUUAAUGGACCACUGUAUUUUUUAUUGAACUGCAAUGCAUAUGCAUGACACCUGCACAAGAGUGAAAAAAAAAAUUUGUACCACUGAGAAAAAGUUAAGUUUGUAUAUUUAGUCACAAGUACAUCCCUCUAGGCGGUGUAUCAGAAAAGUUCAGAGUACAUCAACUAAGCAGUAAAAUAGUCCAUUGUAUCAAGUGUGAGUUACUGUAUUUUGUAAGAGGAACAUGUGGAAGGGUUUUACCUUGGCCACUCUAAAAACUCUAACACUUCGCUUUUCCCAUUUACCAAAAUCUCCAACUUCUUGAAACAACUGCUUUUAUCAAAGCUGGAAAACCAAACACUCAGAAAUUUGGUAUGAAUAACUCAACACCACAAUUCAAGGUCACCAUAAGCUUUCACAUUCAUAAGUGAUAAGCACAGUUAUCUAUAUUGACAUGUAGCCAGAAUGCAGUCUCGUACAUAAUGUCGGUGCUCCCAAUAUCCCAUGUAAACCCCUGUGACUGAUGGGUAUUGCUCGUGUAUUUUCAAAACUACACAUGAAGGACAAACACGCCUGUUUCCUUUACCAAGACGGCCAUACUUUGCUAA